CGCACGAGGUUCAUGCUUUCUCUUUCUUUUCGGCACAAUUGGCAACCUAUCCACUUUUUCCUUUUUGUUUUGUUUUUAUUAGGCUCCCAACCUCUUCUCUUACUUAUCUAAUUAAUUUAAUGAUUCAAAACACAUGUUUAAAUUCUUAAUAUACCUAAUGUAAUGUAAUUGCUUGCUACGCAGAAAGAAGAUAUUUUAUAUCCGGAAAUAACGGAAGUCCAAUGAACAUUGUAAUGUUUUAUAAAAAUAUAUCUUCAAAAAUUUGGUAACAUGUUUCUGUUACUGUUCGUCACAUUGGGUUCUUCU